rnacentral:rRNA from 1 species
AACGAACGCUGGCGGCAGGCUUAACACAUGCAAGUCGAACGCCCACCUUCGGGUGGGAGUGGCAGACGGGUGAGGAACGCGUGGGAACGUACCCUUCGGUUCGGAAUAACCCAGGGAAACCUGGGCUAAUACCGGAUGCGCCCACCUUCGGGUGGGGAAAGGUUCACUGCCGAAGGAUCGGCCCGCGUCGGAUUAGCUGGACGGUGGGGUAACGGCCUACCGUGGCGACGAUCCGUAGCUGGUCUGAGAGGAUGAUCAGCCACACUGGGACUGAGACACGGCCCAGACUCCUACGGGAGGCAGCAGUGGGGAAUAUUGGUCAAUGGGCGCAAGCCUGAACCAGCCAUGCCGCGUGAGUGAAGAAGGCCUUAGGGUUGUAAAGCUCUUUCAGCGGGGACGAUAAUGACGGUACCCGCAGAAGAAGCCCCGGCUAACUUCGUGCCAGCCGCCGCGGUAACAC